UGUUGCACGGAGCUCCCACUCAGUGGGAACGGAAAAAGAGAGCUGUGUGAGGCCCUGUUCUCGGCAUAUCGGAGCUUUUGCCCCAGCAACUCGUCAGACAGCUGCUCAGUGGGAGAACAAAGCGGUGUGUGUGUGGCCCACAGCAGCAGAGGACAAGUCUUAUGAGGACACACAGCAAAUUAACAAAACGAUGUGGUUCAGUCUCUGAAAGCAACAUAACUCAUGCCCGUCUUUGUUUAUCUUAUUACGGACACUGCAGACUUUCCCACGCGUAUUAAACGCCACCCACAAGAUCGGGAAUUUCCAAAUUCCUGAGAAGUCCUUCAGAUUUAUGUGACUACACGGCCCAUUCCAAGACCAUGCCAAAGCAAAUGUGUGACAUCAGGUGAGCAAGGUCAAUGUACCUAGAUUCGGGAGGUCCGAUGUCUGACAGAUGACCUUCUCCAGAGAAGACUGGUCUACAUCCAGCUGAGGUAUCGACAUCUGAACACACAGGAAGUCAUCCACCUGCAUCACAUACCAGCAGGGGCAUAACUGAGGCCGUCCAGGUGUGACUCACCUGCAUCCUGCAAUCACAGUGCCAGGGGUUCUGGGUGAGGUUGGCUAGGACCUGAAGCCCACUGAGCACAGCUGGGUCCAACGUGGUGAGACGGUUGAAUGAAAGGUCCAGGUACCGAAGAGAAGACGCCAAUCCAAAGAAACAACCGGCUUCAAGAGACGAGAGCUGCCACAGGAAACAGGAAAACCAAGCCUUAUAGAAACUGUGACCAGAUGUGCAGACCUGAGUCAGUCUGAGUCCACUGCAGCGGAUCGUCAGGCCUCCGCCCACCGCCUCCAUCUGCUGGCAGGCAUUGAUGGACGAUACUCUGUUGCGCCACAGUGCUGCAGCACGAGGUGAUGAUGUCAUGACCAGGCUGGGUGAUGGAAGGAC